GCCAAACUUCAUCCAAUCCAGCCGCAAGUUUGAGCAAAGGGGAGGAAGAUUUGCGGGCUGCAAUUUCUGGAUAGCCGAGAGGAAGAAAAUUUUGCAGCUGAUUGUCGUGUGAGCUAAACCUUAAGCUGAGGGUAUUGCGAGGACGCGGAAUUCGAUUCCAACUUGAUAUCUGACCUCCACUCUUGGUCCUGGAAACUGAAAGCUGGAUGCUUACUUAUGUUUUCCUUAUGGAUUGUAUUUGACUACUAUAACUUAUUCUGUGGGCUGUAAUGUGUUAUUUGGGAUAAUGUACUUUUCUUUUUGGAUUGCCACUUGAAGCUGGAAAAUGUGUAAACCCUAAUUCGAUUA